AAGUCGUAACAAGGUAACCGUAGGUGAACCUGCGGUUGGAUCAUUAUUAAAAUUUAUAAAAAGGGCAAGCGUCCCUUGUAAACUAUUUUGAUGUCACGGUGUCUUUAAAAACACUCCGGCUCCCAAAGUAGAUUUGCAGAACCACCUCUUGUGCAACAUUGAACUAUUUUUUACUUUAUCUUAUUUUAUUUUAUGUCUAACAAUAUUCUAUGAAUAUAAAAAACAACUUUUGGCAACGGAUCUCUUGGCUCUC
rnacentral:misc_RNA from 1 species